UACGUAGGGUGCAAGCGUUGUCCGGAAUUAUUGGGCGUAAAGAGCUCGUAGGCGGUCUGUCGCGUCUGCUGUGAAAUCCCGGGGCUCAACCCGGGCCUGCAGUGGAUACGGGCAGACUAGAGUUCGGUAGGGGAGACUGGAAUUCCUGGUGUAGCGGUGAAAUGCGCAGAUAUCAGGAGGAACACCGGCGGUGUAGACGCUUUCUGGACCGUAGCUGACGCUGAGACACGAAAGCGUGGGUAGCAAAACAGG
rnacentral:rRNA from 1 species